AUUGAACGCUAGCGGGAUGCCUUACACAUGCAAGUCGAACGGAGUGGCGAACGGGGGAGGAAGGUAUAGGUCCGUGACCCGUAGCGGGGGAUAACUACGAGAACGCGGAGCUAAAUCCGCAUACUCUUGGCGCGGCCGAUAUCGAAUUAGCUGGUGGGUGGGGUAACGGCUCACCAAGGCGACGAGCCGUAGCUGGGUUGAGUGGACGACCAGCCAAACUGGGACUGAGACACGGCCCAGACUCCUACGGGAGGCAGCAGUGGGGAAUAUUGGACAAUGGGGGAAACCCUGAUCCAGCCAUCCCGCGUGUAUGAUGAAGGCCUUCGGGUUGUAAAGCACUUUUAGCGGGAAAGCGGUACCUGCAGAAUAAGCACCGGCUAACUACGUGCCAGCAGCCGCGGUAAUAC
rnacentral:rRNA from 1 species